rnacentral:rRNA from 1 species
GACGAACGCUGGCGGCGUGCCUAAUACAUGCAAGUCGAACGAGAGCGACCGGUGCUUGCACUGGUCAAUCUAGUGGCGAACGGGUGAGUAACACGUGGGUAACCUGCCCAUCAGAGGGGGAUAACAUUCGGAAACGGAUGCUAAAACCGCAUAGGUCUUCGAACCGCAUGGUUUGAAGAGGAAAAGAGGCGCAAGCUUCUGCUGAUGGAUGGACCCGCGGUGCAUUAGCUAGUUGGUGAGGUAACGGCUCACCAAGGCCGUGAUGCAUAGCCGACCUGAGAGGGUGAUCGGCCACAUUGGGACUGAGACACGGCCCAAACUCCUACGGGAGGCAGCAGUAGGGAAUCUUCCGCAAUGGACGCAAGUCUGACGGAGCAACGCCGCGUGAGUGAUAGAAGGUUUUCGGAUCGUAAAACUCUGUUGUUAGAGAAGAACAAGUGCUAGAGUA